AUAGGAUUUGGAGAUGCUGAGGACGAAACGAAUGAGCCAGUGCAGCAGCAAUGCAAGGUUGAUGGAGCUACCGCAUGUUAUCCUCAUCGACAUCCUUUUGAGACUGCCUGUAAAAUCACUUUUCUGCGAGACAAAAGCAGAUAUGCCAUUGUCUCAUAGAUUGCAUCCUCCCGAUAUGCUCAUGAUGUUGGUUUUGUUUCCUGCAACUUGUUUUUCUUUAAGGGCAUACAGUAUAUCGAGGUCCAUGCUUCCUUUUCAACCCUCUCAGGGGAGAAGCUCUCAUGCUCCCAAUGAGUACCGUCCAAGUUCCACUUUAAAGAAGGUAAUCAUAGAUUGGUAUGGCAUGAGCUUUGAUGAUAUAAACCACACCUACAAUAUUGUUCGUGUUUCUGGAAAUGCACAAUGCUGUUUGGUGACCCAAGUUUAUGUGUUAGGCACCAGCUCAUGGAAACAGAUAAGCUCAGUUCUGCCAUGUAAUUUAAUCGAACAGCAAAUAUCUGCAUAUGGAGACCUGCAUUGGUUUAUUGAUCUCUCAUGUGUUGGAGGGCAAAUCUGCAUAGUUUCUUUUGACUUCAAGAAGGGCUAGAAGGAGUGUUCUAUUUGACUCCUCAUCCGUCAUUAAGCAAGCCGGAACAUUUUUUUCUUCCACCUUCACUUCAUUAAUUUGAGAGGAUCCAUGGCAUUGGUUGACCAUUCAUCACGUACACAUGUUGACAUAUGGGUAUUGAAGAGUUAUGAGAACAAAGAGUGGGUGUGAGAUUACUGUGUAUUUAUCCAACAGCUUGAAGACCUUCCUCGGCAUCUUGGCCAGAGUAAUACUUGCAUUGGAGAGUGGGAGCAUGGCAUAUUUUUCAUAGAAUCGUAUGUUGCUGCUGUUAACGCAUUCUUUGUGGAUAUAAGACGUGAUUCUGUGAAACGCAUAUCACUUGGAAGUCCAUACAAGGAUCUUCAGCUAUCCGCGGAGUUUGAUUUCCUUAAAAGAGUUUGGCAAUUUGAUUACAGCAAGUAACUGGAGGCCUGAUUUCUCUCUAAAGUCGUGGCAGCUUGAUUGAACCAAAAUCAAGUGGAGGAAUAUCUUUCAUAUGAGAAGUGGGUACACAAUGCUGCAUUUUAACGAAGAUUGCAUUGAUGGGAGACCAGUG